AGAGGGUGCAAGCGUUAAUCGGAAUUACUGGGCGUAAAGGGCGUGUAGGUGGUUGUAUAAGUUGGCUGUGAAAGCCCCGGGCUUAACCUGGGAGGGUCAGCCAAAACUAUAAGACUAGAGUACGGUAGAGGGUAGUGGAAUUUCCGGUGUAGCGGUGAAAUGCGUAGAUAUCGGAAGGAACACCAGUGGCGAAGGCGACUACCUGGACUGAUACUGACACUGAGGCGCGAAAGCGUGGGGAGCAAACAGGAUUAGAUACCCUGGGUAGUCCACGCCGUAAACGAUGAGAACUAGCCGUUGGAGACGUAAGUUUUUAGUGGCGCAGCUAACGCGAUAAGUUCUCCGCCUGGGGAGUACGGCCGCAAGGCUA
rnacentral:rRNA from 1 species